UACGAAGGGGGCUAGCGUUGCUCGGAAUCACUGGGCGUAAAGCGCACGCAGGCGGUCAAGCAAGUUUGGGGUGACAGUCACCGGCUUAACUGGUGAAGUGCCUUGAAAACUGCUCGACUUGAGGGCUUCAGAGGGACACGGAAUUCCGGGUGGAGUGGUGAAAUGCGUAGAUAUCCGGAGGAACACCAAAGGCGUAGGCAGUGUCCUGGGAAGUUCCUGACGCUCAGGUGCGAAAGCCAGGGGAGCGAACGGG
rnacentral:rRNA from 1 species